rnacentral:rRNA from 1 species
GAACCACUUCGGUGGGGAUUAUUGGCGAACGGGGGAGUAACACGUGGGCAAUCUGCCCUGCACUCUGGGACAAGCCCUGGAAACGGGGUCUAAUACCGGAUACUACCAUCUUGGGCAUCCUUGAUGGUGGAAAGCUCCGGAGGUGCACGAUGAUCCCGCGGCCUAUCAACUUGUUGGUGAGGUAAUGGCUCACCUUGGUGACGACUGGUAGCCGGCCUGAGAUGGCGACCGGCCACACUGGGACUGAGACACGGCCGGACUCCUACGGGAGGCAGCAGUGGGGGAAUAUUGCAGCUUGGGCGAAAGCCUGAUGCAACCACACCUGAUGAGAGAUGAGGGCCUUCGGGUUGUAAAACUCUUUUCACACGGAUAAAGCAAAAAUGACGGUACCUGCUUAAAAAACGGCGGAAAACUACGUGCCACCACCCCCGGUAAUACGUAAAGGGGCCAUCGUUGUCCGGAUUUAUUUGGGGUUUAAAAAAAAUACAAAAGGGGGUUUGCCACGGCCG